rnacentral:misc_RNA from 1 species
ACUCCUGCAGCCGGACCUCAAACCGUCGCCGCAUGGUGGAAAACCAUCGAUCACAAAUACUACCGCCACCACUCCAAAUCCUCCUUCCCCACCCUCCUUCUCGGCCAACAAUUCAUCGUCGACUCCUAUCCACUCGGCAAACCCCUCACCGAUGCUGACCUCACUCACUUAGCCUCCAAAGGCGCCAAGAAGAACGCCAUCAAUGUCGUCCUUACUGCGGACGACGUCGCAGUUGAAGGCUUCUGCAUGAGCAGGUGUGGCACUCACGGCGCCUCCCCACCAUCAAAGGCUGGCCGGUAUGCCUACAUUUGGGUCGGCAACUCGGCCACCCAGUGCCCGGGGCAGUGCGCUUGGCCAUUCCACCAACCCAUUUACGGCCCGCAGGGACCGGCGCUGGUGGCGCCCAACGGCGAUGCUGGGGUGGACGGCAUGGUGAUC